CGAAAAUGUACCGGGGCUAAAGCCAUGCACCGAAGCUGAGGAUGUGCAGUUUACUGCACGUGGUAGCGGAGCGUUCUGUAAGUCUGUGAAGGGAGACCCGUGAGGGCUCCUGGAGAUAUCAGAAGUGCGAAUGUUGACAUGAGUAACGAUAAAGGGAGUGAGAGACUCCCUCGCCGAAAGACCAAGGGUUCCUGCUUAAAGUUAAUCUGAGCAGGGUGAGCCGGCCCCUAAGGCGAGGCCGAAAGGCGUAGUCGAUGGGAACCACGUUAAUAUUCGUGCGCC
rnacentral:rRNA from 14 species